GAGCUCGCCUCAAAGACAUCUCCUUCUGCACUAUAAAGAUUCAGAUCUAGUUACAUCUCAGGCUUGAUUCCAAUGCCACAAUCCGCAGGUAAUCAAACUUCUAAUCUCAUAUCUCUGUGAUUUCUGCUAUUGUUCCUCAUCUUUCCCUAACAUUCACUCUUUUUCUUUCUUUUACACGCACAAUCUGAACAAGAAGCUUUUCCCACCCAAGAUUACAAAAUCUCUCUCCUUUCUCACUCUCUCUCUAACUCUCGAAAAAUAAUAUGAAAGAAGGAGAAAGAGAGAAAUCUGACCUUUGCAUGGAUUAGGAGAAGCUGCAGCUUUCAUGGCUUUGUUAAUACAUAGAGAUAAAGAGAAAGAGACAAAUCACACAAAUAUAGAAGAAAAUAGCCCCCUUGCCCAGCAGUGUCCCAACCAACAAAGAUGUUUCUUUUAAAACAACCAACGAAGAUCUUCUCUUCUUUGGUGCCAAGCAGCGGAGAAAAGAUGAGAGGAAAGAUGUUGGCGCCAAAUUACUAUCACAGAGAAAUGUGGGAACGAAAAGGAGGAUAAACAAAAGAGAGAGAGAUUAUUAAAAUAUGAUUUGAUGCAUCUACAGUGUUCAAUAAAUGUAGAGUUGUUAUAGUAACUUUCUAUAAACCAUAUGAAGGAUGAAGGAGAUGCUAGAGCACUCUUUUAACACAAAUUCUUUAUAUUUUGUAGAUUUAAACAAUUUACAGCUA